rnacentral:lncRNA from 1 species
UCCCAACUAAAAAGACUCCAUUCAAUCUAGCCUUCAAGAAUAAAGCGGUGAUCCCGAUCAAGAUUAGGCUACAAAUGACUAGAGUUGAACACUUUGAUGAACAAAGUAAUCCAGAUCAUCUCCAUAUCGACCUCAACUUAUUAGAAGAAAUAAAAGAGCGAGCUCAGAUUAGAAUGACAUCAUACCAACAGCAUGUAUCCUGCUACUGCAACACAUAGAUGAAGUCAAAGAUAUGCCAAUCGAGUGACCUCAUAUUGUGAUGAGUUGAAGUGUCAAAGCUAACUGAAAAAAGCAAGUUAUCCUCGAAUUAGGAGGGACCCUAUCGAAUCA